rnacentral:tRNA from 1 species
UCCGAGGUAGCUCAAUGGUAGAGCAAUCGGCUGUUAACCGAUAGGUUGUGGGUUCGAGUCCCACCCUCGGAGCCA